AGGAUUCAGGACCAUUUUGGAAGCCGCAUUGAUCAAAGACAAACGUCUCAAGCCGAGGAGUGACAUUGAGGACGCCAUGUUUGUUGACAACAAUGAUGUACGGCGGCCGCGAAGGAAGAAACAGUGCGGAGUACGGAGACAGCUGGCAGAGAGAAGGAGGCCUGAUGCCAGCAGCUAGUAUUGCUUUACAGGGAUGUGUUACAUAUAGCAAGACAUGCCCAGACACAUCCAGCGUCUAUUUACGCCACUGAGAUUUGUUUCAUAUCACAAAUAACGAUGAUGAUGGUGUUAAUGGAAAGAAACUCAGCACAUCCAGAGGAUCUUGCCUUUGGCGCCGGGAGGGAGGACUCUGUGUCACAGCGUGGCCUUAGCAAGCAGGUCAGAGGCCAUCAACACAGUUCUGAGAAGAAUUGAAAAACAAAAAAACAAGAACACAAGAACAAAAGCCAGCAACAAAGACAACAUCAUGCAAGUUCUUCUAUUCCCAAUUGCAAGAUCCUGAGUGCUUGACUUCCAGCAGCACCCCCAUAGUGCAAGCAGCCUGCUUCAUGGCACAUUCACUGGGAUAUGUGGUGUUGUCGCUGGCACACACCGCUUCGUCCGUCCUGCUCUCCGGACAGGCCUCCUCACACAGCGAGCAGCGGCCCCGGCUCAUACGGGCGUCCCAAAGACACUUCUUCCCCACACUGCACUGGAUGUCCUCACACGACUUGGCCUCUGGAAGGAGGGAAGAGGAAAUCAGCAACAGGGAGCAAAUCUUUGACUGGGUGGAUUAUAGUGACUGCUCUCAAGUGGGACCAGAUGACGAAGCAAGGAAUAUAAAGUACAUCCUGUUUUAUGGUGUUAGGGAAAGUGAUGGAGGACAUACAGGCAUGUUUAAACUAACAAUUCUCAAACUACAUGACUCAGAAUGACUCUUUUUGGAUAAUAAGCCAUCUGACUCAAACAUUUACUUGAAGCAUGCCUCCAUGGCCCCCAGCACUCCCCUGUUUCUUUCUCUUGCUCCCUCCCCCUCUCCUCCCCUCUCUCCCAUGUGCACUAGUGCUGCCAACAUCAGGAAAUAAUAAGAUGUCUAUCAAUUCUUGAGCAAACACAAGCAACAACCAAACACACUCUCUCUCUCUCUAAGACCCCCUCCUCAAAGGAAUGUUGGCAAAAUGAGUACAGAACAACUGCAAAGCUGGCCAGGGACAAAAUGCUCUCAAACAAUCAUCAGAGUCAGUGGCUGGAGGCGAUCACAAACACCACACUCUCACACUCUCACGUGUCUAGUGGCUGCGUACUUACUGAUGCAUUUUCCCUCAUAUGCCACUCCGAUAGAUCUGCCCAGGAGACAGGUAGCUCUUCUCAGGUGACACGCGCUGGCGUAGAUGAUCCCGUCGUUUCCACACAGGUACUGCUCAGGCGACGUCACCUCGGGGCAAAUCCGAUUACACGUCACACAAUACGCGUUAUUCGUCUGGUCCACGACGCAUGUGGAGCUGCCGGGGCACAAGACGUCACGGCACGUUUCUGUCGAGACAAAGAGACGUGAAGAUUUGAAGAAUCAAAAAAAGAGAAAUGCACAAACCGCUGGGUUCUUUAUACAUACAGCUUUAAGAAACAUUCUGAGCAUUUACUUACUCUUGCACUUCCCCUGGUACUGCACGUCCAAGUCUGGAUGGCCUUUACAUUUAGCUUUCAGCAGAGCGCAUUCGUCUUUGUAGGUCUUUCCGUCUGAGCCGCAGACGGGUCCUUUCCAGGUGAUGUUGGAGCAGUCUGGUGCGCACACACAGCGCGGCUUACUUCUUCUGUUCAUCUUGCACCUCUUCCCAGGGCCACAGUCCACAUUAUCGCAGGUUUCUAGAAUAAAAGGUCUGUGUUAUGGGAUGCUGACGAUGAUUUUGGACUUGUGCGUAAAACCAGUCUGACGCCUUAAGUAAACACUAAAUGGAUAAUUUGCGCAGUUCAUGUGCACAAAUCGGAUCACAAGUUGGAGUUAUUAACUUAAUGGCUUAGGAUGUGUAUUAUGAUAUAACGAAGGGAAAUGAGUGCACCUCCACCUUUGCAAGGUAUGCAAUUGGGGGCUCCGCCAUUGAAGAUCAUCCACCUAAAGAGCGUGCUGUUGGGGACGUCCUCCUCGGUCCAGGACGUCCCCAGUCUUCCACUCCGACAGCACUCCUCCCUGCUCAUCCCGGGCAUGUAGAGCACCUGGCACCUCCCGUUCUUCCCCUGCUGCAGCCAGCAGUUCCCAGCUGCAAACAGACAGAAAAACCCUCAAAUGUCGCAUGUUGGACGGCUGUAACCGCUGACCCAGACGCACCAGACACACACGCAGCCUGUAUUAUCCGAGACGCUCCCUCCCUCCCUUUCACCCUCCCGGCACUAUUUUGUCUGAUUUUUUUUCUUUUUUCUUUUUGCCAGACUGUUAACACUUGCCUGUCCUAUCUGUGACUGACAACCCUUACAAUGCAGCCGCAAACCAAAAAAGUAAGAAAAUCUUCGGAGGGGGGUUUGUCCUUUAUUCCCAGAGCCUCCUUGUUAUCACUGGACAGAAAGUGGAGCGUCUAGACAGUGUUAAAAAGCAGCCAAUCUCCUUCAAAAAAAAAACACCACACACCACCGUCUCCAACGCCUCAGAACAAUAUCCUAGACAUGUACCCUCCA